rnacentral:rRNA from 1 species
GAUGAACGCUGGCGGCGUGCCUAAUACAUGCAAGUCGAGCGAACAGACGAGGAGCUUGCUCCUCUGACGCUAGCGGCGGACGGGUGAGUAACACGUGGAUAACCUACCUAUAAGACUGGGAUAACUUCGGGAAACCGGAGCUAAUACCGGAUAAUAUAUUGAACCGCAUGGUUCAAUAGUGAAAGACGGUUUUGCUGUCACUUAUAGAUGGAUCCGCGCCGCAUUAGCUAGUUGGUAAGGUAACGGCUUACCAAGGCAACGAUGCGUAGCCGACCUGAGAGGGUGAUCGGCCACACUGGAACUGAGACACGGUCCAGACUCCUACGGGAGGCAGCAGUAGGGAAUCUUCCGCAAUGGGCGAAAGCCUGACGGAGCAACGCCACGUGAGUGAUGAAGGUCUUCGGAUCGUAAAACUCUGUUAUUAGGGAAGAACAAAUGUGUAAGUAACUAUGCACGUCUUGACGGUACCUAAUCAGAAAGCCACGGCUAACUACGUG